AACUAGAAGUCCCUAUGACACCAGAUCUGAGUUUCUUACCAGUUUCGUAUGGGAAACUACCCUGUGCUUUCCCAAGCAGUGUCAUUGCCUUGUUCUGUACUUGCAGUCAAUGCCCAAACUGCAGUAGAAGCACAGCCUCCAGUGGUCCAGCAUCUGCCUCUGACAUGAGGAUGAUGUGUAGAAGGAGGCAAAACUCCAGCUUUUGCCAUUUUGCCUGCUCCCUUUUCAAGAGGCAUGACGAUAGAGGUGACUGUAGAAUCAUGAAGCACUGAAAGACUGUCAUGGAGAAACUAUUUAUUCUUUUUUUGCUMGUAAUCUUGACUCUUAAGCACCCUCAGAGUUCCCUUGUACUGGGCUCGUGCUGUAUAAACAAAGCAUCAGACCUGGUUGUUGAGGUUGCAUAGCUGACCGUAAAUAGCUGUACAAUGUUUUUAUAUCUGAAUACUUGCUACUUUUUGACUUUUGGAGUCAUAAUUUUAGUGGGGCCAUGCCGAUGAAAGGGAUGGCGUUAUUUGGUGAAUCUUACGUGACUGGACCAGGCACCAAAGCCAGAAGUGGAGAUGACCGUGAGCRUGGUGGUGCUGUCGCAUUAGUGCUAAGCUGGCGUGAGGGUGAAGCAUCGAUGGCGGUGCCAACUUGGCUGCCUCCUCCCUGAGCUCCCACUGCUCCUGAUGUGCAGGGCCUCUUGUGGCAUGGGGUGUGGCUCAUCCAGGGCGAAACUAAUCCUCCGAAACAACAAAAAAGUAAGUUUGCUACUGUCAGCUGGCUGAAUUGACUCAUCCCACGCUUAUGGGAUUGCGAGAUCCUACAGAGAGUAAAAGGGGGAGCAGGAACUUGCAGCCAAGUUUGGGCCAGGGGAUUGGGCUGGAGAUGUUGGCUUCUUCUCAUGGUCAUGCUUAGCUCUAAGGGCAAAUUAUAGCUGAGAGUGUGACUCCAUGGCUGCCUAAGCCAAACUAAGAUGGGCAUGUUCAUGGUUUUCCUUUCUUGCUGUCCUUGGCCACAUGGUUGCACCUUUUCCUUUGCCACUGCACUGGAACUCAACGGAGCAGAAGAGAAGGCCCUUCAGGAGCUGGGCCACCCAAAAACUAAUCCAGAGAAAGAAAGAAGCCUCAGCUUUGUGAGGUGGAAAAGCAGGUCAUAAAAUUUAGCAAUGUCAAAGCCUGUGAAGGUAAUAAAUUAAAAAAAAGCUGUAUAUUAAAAGGAAGA
rnacentral:lncRNA from 1 species